rnacentral:precursor_RNA from 1 species
UACUUCCAAAUUCAGAGAAACCCUGGAAUGAAAAAUGGGCAAUCCUGAGCCAAAUCUUUAUGUUAAGAAAACAAAGGAUAGGUGCAGAGACUCAAUGGAAGCUGUUCUAACAAAUGGAAUUGACGUUGACUACGUUGCGUUGGUAGCUGGAAUCCCUCUAUCGAAAUUACAGAAAGAAAGGAUGACCCUAUAUGCGUAUAUAUACAUACUGACAUAUCAAACGAUUAAUCACAACUCAAAUCUGGAAUCCAUAUUAUUAACUAUAACUAUAUAUAUAGAUAUUAUAGUUAUUAUUAUAACUAUUUUCUUUAUAUAUUUAAUAAAGAUAUAUUUUUUUAAAAAUUUAUAGAUUAAUUAAGAGUUAUUAUAAAUAUAUUCCAGUCGAAGUUGAAGGAAGAAUCGAAUAUUCAGUGAUCAAAUCAUUCAUUCCGGGGUCGGAUAGAUCUUUUGAAAAAAUGAUUAAUCGGACGAGAAUAAAGAGAGAGUCCUGUUCUACGUGUCAAUACCGACAGCAAUGAAAUUUAUAGUAUUAGGAAAAUCCCGUCGACUUUAGAAAUCGUGA